UACGUAGGGGGCAAGCGUUGUCCGGAAUCACUGGGCGUAAAGCGUGCGCAGGCGGUUCUGCAAGUCUGGGGGGAAAGGCCAUGGCUCAACCAUGGAGGUGCCUCGGAAACUGUAGGACUUGAGUGCUGGAGAGGCAAGGGGAAUUCCACGUGUAGCGGUGAAAUGCGUAGAUAUGUGGAGGAAUACCAGUGGCGAAGGCGCCUUGCUGGACAGUGACUGACGCUGAGGCACGAAAGCGUGGGGAGCAAACAGG
rnacentral:rRNA from 1 species